GGCCAGCUGCAUUUUCAACAGGAUGGGGUCAAUAAAAAUUACACAGGGGUCAAAAUUUAAAAAUGCUCCAAUCAUCUUGAAAACUAUACCCCAUUAUUUGUCUG